UGAGUCGUCACCAUGACUUUUAUUCUGAAUAUCACUAUUUUUGAACACAUUCUUCUGUUUCUUUCUUUGCAUGAUUGUUACAUCUACAUGACAGCGUUUGAGUAUCACGAAGGCAAAAUUAUCACAGCAAUAAAGAUCACUGUAUUUCUGAACAGUGUCACAAUGACGGAUAUGGGAAGAUCACAUGACAGCAAUAAAGGCGUGCACAUCAGUAAUCUGGACAUUCUCCAGCUCUUGCUUGGACUCAGUCGCUGGCUGCUGCUCUAGUCUCCGCUGGCAUGACUCAAGCUCUCUUCAUGCACUGUCUGCUACAUACUUUCUGCUAGUGCUGCAGCUGUGUCUAGACAACUGUUAGGACAUUUCAUUUUACCCCCAACACAUUCUGCUCAUGCAACCUGUAUGCAUUUCUUUCUUCUGUUGAGCACAAAAGAAGUUGCUUUGAAGGAUGUUGGUAAGCUGACGUUAGCCAUUGACUUUCAUAGUAUGAAAAAAAUAAAUAUUAUGGAAGUCAAUAGCUACUGUCAACUUUUUAAUUUUUGGAUGAACUAUCCAUUUAACCAUGUUUUGGGGGAAAGACAUGAUCCAAAUCUGACAGGGUUAUUCAAAAACUGUUUUUUGGAGGUCAGGUGCUGGUCUAGAUGAUAGACUAAAAAGCUUAUUUUAUAGAGUGUUUAAUCUGGUCAUUGGUUAAUGUUUAAAACAUUUGCAUGAAGAAACAAUGCCUGUCAAAGCAUCAAGGCUCGUCAAGCUUAAGAACAAUAAGAAAAACAUAGGAAAUGAAUGUAGACACUGCAAACAAGGCACACAGAAGAAAAAAAAAUCUAAAUCUGCUCUUCAAGAGGUCUGUUUAUGUAAUACUUAUAUCUAGUUUCAUUUCUAACGUGCCGUUAAACACUAUUUAAUCUAUUCAGCUUGUGUGUGUGUGUGUGUGUGUGUGUGUGUGUGUGUUUGUGUUCUCUACUCUGUACUAAAGACAUUUUUACCUGUAUGAAGGUGAAGGACUCAGGAGAGCUGGCUCUGUUUAAUCUCUCUUGAGAGUUGGAUCAAUGAUGUAAUAACAUGGCUCUCUACUCUGAGAGCUGGCAGGAACAUCUGCUGCUUUUGUGGAAGACGCUGUAAGAAGCGUGUAGGGCUGGACUGAGUGCCAACCUUGGAUGUGUUACACAGAUGGUUUCUCUGAAGCCCAUUACCUGAGCUCCAGAUUGGUUUGGGCUUAAUCAAAACACAAGGAAGGAAAUACAUAGCGAUGUCUAUCAAACUUGACCAAUGACCAAAAUUACAACAGAAGGGUUAAUUAACUAUGCUAUCCCUGGAUGAGGCCGUGACGUUUCUGCUGAGCUUGUGGACCGUGGCAGAGCAGAAGAAUCUGUGGGAUACAGUGAUGUGUUUUGGCUAAUUGGCCAUAGAAAAGAGGACGUCAGAACAGCGUGGAGACAGUGAAUAAUAGAUUAAUGGGCACGGCCCUAAUUGAUAAAGCAUGGCCUUCUGAAGCUAGAGGUUGUGUGGGUAUGGAGGAUGAAUCAGUGAAGAGCGUGCUUCAUGAACAGGAAAUACCAGGUUUACAUCCCACCAUGAGCUCUUCUGAUGGAGGGAUGCAUUUGUGCCUUUGAGCAAAGCAUUUUAAUGUCAUCUGCUUGAGGUCUUGAUACCACAGCUUUCUAGUUACCGUGUAAUCCAGCUACAGUCUGCCAAUGGAGGAUAUUUUACACUGCUUGCAAAAGACUGCUUCCUCUUACCUUCUUAUGCAUUGAAGCAGCAGUCUUUGACAUGGUUAUACUUAAUCUGAGAUUCAUUGUAAUGUGAAUCAAUUGAUGGAUGGUAAGUGUGUCACAGUAAGUGAUCCAAUACAGCUUAUUUUGCCCUAUGAUUAAAGUCAUUUGUUUUUGAUGAUAAUAUCAUGGUCGCAAAAUCACACAGUCUUCAUCUAGUUUCAGUAGCUAAAAACAAGAUGCUUUGCAACCAUAUUAUAUGCUGAUGACACAAUUUUAAAUGAGCAAACAAAGAGGAACCUAUGCCAAGGGAAUAUGUCUGAUGAGAAACAGCUACCAAUAAUGACAGACAAAUUGAACAGUCCAAACAAUAUGGUAAUGUGCAUACUAUAUAGGGAAUUUAAAACACAAAACAAAUACAUUAACAUGUUACAUAAUGAAUAGCACAACAUUCAUCAGCUCAUUCCACAGAUCUGUUGCAUUCAGCAGAGGAACGUCUAACUAUGCAAUGAUAUAAACACAAAUGAACAAAAUAUCAUUUUCUUACUAACAUGGAAUGCAAAAAGUGAUGUACUGCACUAUAGAGCAGUAGAUUUUCAGCAAAUGAAGUCUGUGUUGUGUUUGUCACACACUGCUAUUCUAUGAUUUGUAACAUAACGCAUGAGUGGUAUGAAAUAUGACUUUGUCCUUGACUGUUCAUAUAAACUGAUACUGCAUAUUUACUGUAGUAUAAAACAACUGGGAUGCAUCAUUGUUUGUUGCUUCAGUUGUAUAUGUGCACACCAUUCCAGACCAAAGUUAUGUGAGUGGUAUGGAGUGGAAUUGUUUUAUGAAAAUAUAAUAAUAAAGUUUUG
ensembl:lncRNA